GGGUCAGUAGGUUGGUCGUGCCACCGGUACGUACUGGUCUCACUGAUUCCUCCUUCCUGAAGAACCGUAAUGCUAUUAAUUUGGUGUUGCGGGGGAAACAGGACUGUUACUUUGAAAAAAUUAGAGUGUUUAAAGCAAGCUAACGCUUGAAUACAUUAGCAUGGAAUAAUGAAAUAGGACGAUCGAUCCUAUUUUGUUGGUUUCUAGGAUUGACGUA
rnacentral:rRNA from 1 species